GGCCUAACACAUGCAAGUCGAGCGGAAACGACACUAACAAUCCUUCGGGUGCGUUAAUGGGCGUCGAGCGGCGGACGGGUGAGUAAUGCCUAGGAAAUUGCCUUGAUGUGGGGGAUAACCAUUGGAAACGAUGGCUAAUACCGCAUAAUGCCUACGGGCCAAAGAGGGGGACCUUCGGGCCUCUCGCGUCAAGAUAUGCCUAGGUGGGAUUAGCUAGUUGGUGAGGUAAUGGCUCACCAAGGCGACGAUCCCUAGCUGGUCUGAGAGGAUGAUCAGCCACACUGGAACUGAGACACGGUCCAGACUCCUACGGGAGGCAGCAGUGGGGAAUAUUGCACAAUGGGCGAAAGCCUGAUGCAGCCAUGCCGCGUGUAUGAAGAAGGCCUUCGGGUUGUAAAGUACUUUCAGUUGUGAGGAAGGGGGUAGCGUUAAUAGCGCUAUCUCUUGACGUUAGCAACAGAAGAAGCACCGGCUAACUCCGUGCCAGCAGCCGCGGUAAUACGGAGGGUGCGAGCGUUAAUCGGAAUUACUGGGCGUAAAGCGCAUGCAGGUGGUUCAUUAAGUCAGAUGUGAAAGCCCGGGGCUCAACCUCGGAACUGCAUUUGAAACUGGUGAACUAGAGUACUGUAGAGGGGGGUAGAAUUUCAGGUGUAGCGGUGAAAUGCGUAGAGAUCUGAAGGAAUACCAGUGGCGAAGGCGGCCCCCUGGACAGAUACUGACACUCAGAUGCGAAAGCGUGGGGAGCAAACAGGAUUAGAUACCCUG
rnacentral:rRNA from 2 species